rnacentral:sRNA from 1 species
UGAAGGUAUGUCCUGCGGACGCGAGCGAC